CACACACGCAACUGCCAACCCCUUUGCGAACUGUACCACUGUCCCCACCCGGCCCCGGUCCCUCCUUCAUUUAUUCUUCUCAUCUUGGGAAUAAUAAUAUGGAUGUGAGGGACUUGCCGGGUCCCCACCCUCAUCGGAUGGCGCAAUGCAUCAACCCCUUCGAAAUUGACUGAGUGUACCUGCGACGAGGACCCCCGAGUCCGAGUUGUCGAGUGAUCAAAAACACGAAAACAACUCUCAGCAACGGAUAUCUUGGCUCCUGCAACGAUGAAGAACGCAGCGAAAUGCGAUACGUAGUGUGAAUUGCAGAAUUCCGCGAAUCAUCGAGUCUUUGAACGCAAGUUGCGCCCGAGGCUUGCCCUCGGGCAUUUCUGUCAGAGCGUCACCGCGACACCCACCGACCCCCCACCCCCCUCUUUAAAAAGGGGUGCUUGGGCGGGCCGAGUGGAACUGGCCGUCCCAGAAUUUUCCCGCCGCUUCGCGGCCAGGGGGACUGGGUCGGCUGAAAUGGAUGGAAUCCGCCCCGCCGCGCCGAAACAGCCAGCGAUCAGGUGAUCAUCCCUCCCCCUUUUGGAAAGGAGGGGGAGGGAGGGAGUGUGUUGGUUGGCCUGCGUCGUGGAAAAGGGGACUUGGAUUCCGAACAAGCAGGCAGGCCCCUUUCAUCUGAUGAAUGGGGGUCGUCACGCAUCAGACCUCUGAUCAGGAAAGACUACCCGCUGAGUUUAAG
rnacentral:rRNA from 1 species